UAUCAGAGCCGGUGUCUCUCCGCGUGCGCUCUCUUUGUUAGCUGCCCCUUUGUUGCCUCAUCGAUGGCUCUUCUCCGUGUGAUUAUCCCCCGAUGUACUGUUGUAAGUAUAACGCAGUAUCACCGCCUGAGAGAGAUGAUGAUCGCUCUCGGCCACACCAGAGCGCGCGAGCACAGAGACUCAGUGAGAGAAAAAAGCAGAAGAGCGCACUAUACGCAAACCGUCUCUCCGCGCGUGUUGGGAGACUCAUUAACACAGGUGGCGAGACAUGUUUCCCGUCUAGAGAGCGGACAGAGAGCGCAACACAAUAAAUGAGAGAGAUCUCACUCAUGAGGCACCACAGUCUACACUCUAUGAUAUGCCCAAGAUUACCACAAGCUAUAAUACGUCUCUAUAUAGGGAAAGCUCGCACGCAGGUCUGCACAGUCGGGGGCCCGGGGAUGAGAUUAUAACAUGGAAAAAAAAAAUAGGACGUUUGGUUAUAUUUUUUUUGUUUAUAGGACCGCCGUAAUGUUUUAUAGGGACAGGGGGGGGCAUCAGUAUUCAGGUGUGAGGGGUGAAAUUUUGAGAUAUUGAGAAGACUAUCUUCUGAGAACGCAUUUCCCAAGGAUGUUUUCAUUAAUCAGGAACGAAAGUUAGGGGAUAGAAGGCGAUCAGACCCCGUUGUAGUCUUAACCAUAAACUAUGCCGUAUAGGGAUCAGGCAAGGAUAUUUUGACUUGCUUGGCACCUUAUGAGAAAUCAAAGUUCUUGGGUUCCGGGGGGAGUAUGGUCGCAAGGCUGAAACUUAAAGGAAUUGACGGAAGGGCACCACCAGGAGUGAGCCUGCGGCUUAAUUUGACUCAACACGGGGAAACUCACCAGGUCCAGAAAUCUAGA
rnacentral:rRNA from 1 species